rnacentral:rRNA from 1 species
UACGUAGGGUGCAGGCGUUGUCCGGAAUUAUUGGGCGUAAAGAGCUCGUAGGCGGUUUGUCGCGUCCGCUGUGAAAAUCCAGGGCUUAACCCUGGACCUGCAGUGGGUAUGGGCAGACUAGAGUGCGGUAGGGGAGAUCGGAAUUCCUGGUGUAGCGGUGAAAUGCGCAGAUAUCAGGAGGAACACCGGUGGCGAAGGCGGAUCUCUGGGCCGUAACUGACGCUGAGGAGCGAAAGCAUGGGGAGCGAACAGG